UGACCACAGGACCAGUAGAGGGAGCUGUUUCUUUCCUACGGGAUUCAACAACCGCGAGACAUAGCACCUGGAAUUUGUGGUCGAGGCAGUCCACAGUGCUGAAGUUGAGCUUCCAGGCCUGCUGGUCCUUGUAGUCAAGGCAGUCUACCGAACUGAAGCCCAACGACGCAGUGCUGUAUCCCUGGGAGGAGAGAGAGGGCGACUGGCUGAGCGAGCCGCCCAUGGAGGGCACGGUGAGGGGGGAGAGGGCGCCUCCACUUGCUGACAGCUGGGUGGUCAUGGGAGAAAGGUACGGGCUGCAAUCCAAUCCGCUGAAGUAAGGAGAAGAGCCAUAGCCCUGGCUGUAGGAAGAGGGCUGACCGUAGCUCAUGGGAUAUGGAGCAGGACGCUGCACGCAGGGGGUGCCUGAACCACACAGUGGAUCAGGGAGGGGGGAAAGAGAAGUGGGACUCCAUACAGAAACUGGUGCUGUGCCUGCGCUCACACUAGGGGGCACGGUCGGGGUCGGGGCAGCCACCACCGAGGAGCUAGUGCCAGGGUCAGAGGUCAGAUCAGGGGGAGGGGAGGACUUCUUUUUGGGGGGACGGGGCUUGGGCUGACCGCUGGUCUGCUGCUGCUGCUGGCGGCAUUUAGCACGACGGUUCUUAAACCACACCUGAAAAAAAACAAUGGAGUUAUUGAUGGAUUGUUUUAAGACAAAUUUGGGUAAAAUAUAAAAAUACAAACUUUUUUGUGUUAAAAAUUAGUUUAGAAAUUUAACCAAAUGGCUGGCUUAUUUCAUUGCAGAUCAAGGAAUGAAUAUACUAUAGAAACUAUCAUCUCAUG
rnacentral:lncRNA from 1 species